CCGCCACCUCAAGAAUUUAUGUUACAUACACAAAAUAAAACAUUAGAAAAAACUUUGAUAGAAAUAAAACUAAAAUGUUCUUUGAAUACAAAAACAACUCAUUCUGGGACCAUGUGUGCCCGAUAUGUACUUGCAAGGCCAAUCUUACUAAACUACACUAUUAAGCAAUUAGAAGUUAGAUUUUCUACUGCCUUGCUUAUCUAUAUUAGCUAAUAAAGCAUAGCGUUUGUUAUGCAUAUUAUAAAGCAACUGUCUACACAGGGGUUCCAAAAUAUUACUGGUUUCCUCAAAAACAGCUCUGUUUGCAUUAAUGUCUACAUAAC
rnacentral:lncRNA from 1 species